GGUUGCGAUCAUACCAGCACUAAUGCAUCGGAUCCCAUCAGAACUCCGUAGUUAAGCGUGCUUGGGCGAGAGUAGUACUAGGAUGGGUGACCCCCUGGGAAGUCCUCGUGUUGCAACCC
rnacentral:rRNA from 1 species